rnacentral:rRNA from 1 species
UCUAAGUUUGAUGGCGACCGGCGCACGGGUGUGUAACACGUAUCCAACCUGCCGAUGACUCGGGGAUAGCCUUUCGAAAGAAAGAUUAAUACCCGAUGGCAUAGUUCUUCCGCAUGGUGGAACUAUUAAAGAAUUUCGGUCAUCGAUGGGGAUGCGUUCCAUUAGGUUGUUGGCGGGGUAACGGCCCACCAAGCCUUCGAUGGAUAGGGGUUCUGAGAGGAAGGUCCCCCACAUUGGAACUGAGACACGGUCCAAACUCCUACGGGAGGCAGCAUG